rnacentral:rRNA from 1 species
AGUAAGGAAUAUUGCUCAAUGGGGGAAACCCUGAAGCAGCAACGCCGCGUGAAGGAUGAAGGGCUUUUGCUAGUAAAAAAAUGUAGUGAGGGAAAAAACUUCCACUCUGUGGAAUAUGAUGGUACCUCAAAAGUAAGCCCCGGCGAACUACGUGCCAGCAGCCGCGGUAAUACGUAGGGGGCAAACGUUGUCCGGAUUUACUGGGUGUAAAGGGUGCUCAGGCGGUUUUGUAAGUCAGAAGUGAAAUCCUAGAGCUUAACUCCGGAAGUGCUUGAGAUAAUGCAAGGCGUGAAUGUGGAAGAGGAGGAUGGAAUUUCUGGCGUAGCAGUGAAAUGCGUAGAUAUCAGAAAGAACACCAGUGGCGAAGGCGGUCCUCUGGUCCACUAUUGACGAUAAAGCAGGAAAGCGUGGGGAGCAAACAGGAUUAGAUACCUUGGUAGUCCACGCCUUAAACGAUGAAUACUAGACGUUGGGGUUACACUCAGUGUCGCAGCUAACGCAUUAAGUAUCC